UACGGAGGGUGCAAGCGUUAUCCGGAUUCACUGGGUUUAAGGGGUGCGUAGGUGGGCAGGUAAGUCAGUGGUGAAAUCUCUGGGCUUAACCCGGAAACUGCCGUUGAUACUAUCUGUCUUGAAUAUAGUGGAGGUGAGCGGAAUAUGUCAUGUAGCGGUGAAAUGCUUAGAUAUGACAAAGAACAUCGAUUGCGAAGGCAGCUCGCUACACUAUGAUUGACGCUGAGGCACGAAAGCGUGGGGAUCAAACAGG
rnacentral:rRNA from 1 species